rnacentral:rRNA from 1 species
GACGAACGCUGGCGGCGUGCUUAACACAUGCAAGUCGAACGCUGAAGCUCAGCUUUUGUUGGGUGGAUGAGUGGCGAACGGGUGAGUAACACGUGAGUAACCUGCCCCCUUCUUUGGAAUAACGCCCGGAAACGGGUGCUAAUACUGGAUAUUCACUGGUCUUCGCAUGGGGGUUGGUGGAAAGGGUUUUUCUGGUGGGGGAUGGGCUCGCGGCCUAUCAGCUUGUUGGUGGGGUGAUGGCCUACCAAGGCUUUGACGGGUAGCCGGCCUGAGAGGGUGACCGGUAACAUUGGGACUGAGAUAGGGCCCAGACUCCUACGGGAGGCAGCAGUGGGGAAUAUUGCACAAUGGGCGCAAGCCUGAUGCAGCGACGCAGCGUGAGGGAUGGAGGCCUUCGGGUUGUGAACCUCUUUCGCUCAUGGUCAAGCCGCAACAAUGGUUGUGGUGAGGGUAGUGGGUAAAGAAGCGCCGGCUAACUACGUG